GCAGGCUCACAUGCGUCAUCGGAUAUCAUUAUAACAUCUCUUCUUGACGGGACAGAUAUUUUUGUCAAACGCUCAGUGAUACAGUCGAAGAAUCGAGGUUGUAAACAAGAAAAUAGUUUUACAAGAAAACGAUUUGUUUUUAUUUUUUCCCUGGGAAGCUGCUUGUCAACGUCUUCAACGUAAGUAGAUACUGUCUUUUAAUACGUAAAAAAAUUAUGUGUGUAAACAAAGGCAUUGAUCAAAGUGGCAUCAUCAAGUGUGUUUGAUUCUAAAUUAUGUUUUACAGCAUAUCUACGUCGAUCUAUUUGGAGUCCUUAGAUUGAAAUAACAAAAGUAUUUAUCACCAAG